AGUCAUUACUCUAAUACUUUACUAGUUAGAAAAAUGAAAUAAAAAUCAAAAAUUUAAUAAAUUUAAGAAAAAUAUGUAAACAUUUUAGUUGAAUUUAGAAAAACUGUAAUAAUUUUAAGCGAAAAAAAAAAACAAAAUCAGUCUGCUUUUCAAAGUGAUAAUAUCGUUGUCGCUAUCAAUUUACCGUGGAGAAAUUCAACUGGUUGAAGAAUUCAGCAUACAAAAAAUCACACAGCGACAAACACACACAUUUGCUUCCAAUAGAAACGCUGCGAUAAAAUGGGCAAUAAAUCAUUCCAAUCAUCACAUUCGCUCUUCAAACUGCUUCAAGUUACGAUAUCAUGAAUGACGCCAAACAAACAACUGCACAUUUGAAAUGCCACCACUUCUUCGAGUCCGUGGGAGAUCCAAUGGCCGAUAUGCAUCGAUUACAUUUCCUUCAUCGUAUUCUACAUGCAAAUGUGGUACGACUUAGGAAUGGAUCGUUGGAAGGUUGAAUUUAUAAGGCCAAAUUCUUCGGAACCAAAAAGAAAAAUUCCAAAAUUACUUUAUGUAAAAUGUAUACAACGGACCCAUGACACCAAAUGACAUGUUCCCAUUUCAGUGUCGAAAUGACAAAUAGACGUGGAAAGCAUUCGAAUUCAGUUCAGUUCAUCGCAUUUAAGUGCUAAUUUGACAAUGAGCCCAUGAUCAACAAAAAGCUUGACUUAUCGAUCACAUUGUCUUUCAUCGUGUCUCAUUGAUAACCCAGGCAAGGAUCGACUGGCAGCAUUGGAUGAAAUGUGUGUUUGUUGGCUUCAGUAGUCUGUAUAACGACUAAAAAUGAACUUUAAAUCAUUGAAUAAACUGCUAUAUGUAGUAAAUGAACAUGGCAAGAAAACGGAAACUUCAACACGAUUCGUAUCGAUAUAAGUGCAUCCAAUCAACGCAUAUAUCAAAAUCAACGAAUCUAAAAAUAUCUAGCAACAACUCCAAAUUCACUUUGAAAAGCCAUUGAUUUACAAUUUGAAAAUAAUUUAAGUUUUUUUUUUUAAUAUUUUAAGUUUUUUCUGAAAAUUUGAAAUUAGGUACAAAAAAGACAAUCAAAUGUGAAAUCAAAACAUGACAAAAAAUGUUCUACCAUCUCGAUUCGUCUUUCUGUAGUCUGGAUUUAAGCAAAUUAAUUUUCAAAGAUAUAAGUUGUCUUCGAUGACAGAUUUAAAAUGUUGUAUCAUUUUUUCAUGUUUUCGAGUUCGAAUUUUAACUGAUACCUAGGUGUGCGGAAAAAUCAAAAGUAAAACAUAAUCUUCAAACGAACUAAAUUACUAAGAAUUAAUUGGCUUUGAGAAAAACUUCAUGUGAACUAAAUAUUUCUAAUGGUAAGAUUAUUUGGUAUAGAAAUUCAAAUCGGGAAAUGAUUCAGUUUUUAAGGAGGCAUAUUGUUCUCUUUUUACUGAUAAAUACACAAAUAAAUGAAAGAAAAUAAAUUAAUUAAAUGACUUUAUUUAUUUCAAACUGAAUUAUUUUCCGCACUGUGGUAAAUUAAAAUCUGGAUAAGCAGAAUUAGUGUGGUACACAUUAGUUUUUUACAGUCUGUCCAAUUUAGGGUGUCCCAGGGAAAAAUAUGAAAGAAAUCAGCAUAAAUAAAGUAGAACUAGAAUAGAAAUUGUUAACUUACCUGAAAAAAAAUCAUACAAAAUGCUACCGUGUUCUCCUACAGACGAUUUCAUGUUGCAAUCGGGUGUAAGUCUGAAAUUAGUGAAAAAAAAAUUAUGACAUUAAAAACACUGAAUAUAAUUUUAAAAUCACAAAAAAAUCAUAAAUAUAAAUGAAAAUAAUAAAAAAGACUUACAAUUUGCGGCGCGAUGAGCCAAAACAAUGCGAAUUUGCCGAUUCAUUUGACAGAUUGACAACGUAAAAAAAAUAUAUAUGAAUUCUCUAGAAUAAAUACAGCGUAUGAUACGGUCGCACAACAUAGGUU